rnacentral:lncRNA from 1 species
GGCUUAUUUUAUGCCUUCAGGUUUUAAAAAUUAUAAACAUUUACAUUACAGUAAAAUUCACUCUGGUAUACAGUUCUAUAAAGCUCUGAUAAAUGUGUAGAGUUGUGUAACCACCAAUGCAACCAAAGUACAGAACAGUCCUCUUAGCCUCUCCCUACCAAAUUUAUUCCUGCUACUUUGUAGUCAAAACCAGUCCCCUACACCCAAACCCUGGCAGUCACUGGUUUUUUUCUUCGUUCUCUUUUUUUUUUUUUUUUUUUUUGAGACAGAGUCUAGCUCUGUUGUCCAGGCUGGAGUGGUGCAGUGGCGUGAUCUCGGUUCACUGCAACCUCCGCCUCCAGGGUUCAAGCGGUUCUCCUGCCUCAGCCUCCCGAGUAGCUGGGAUUAUGGGCGCCCGCCACCACGCCCAGCUAAUUUUUGUAUUUUUAGUAGAGAUGGGGUUUCACUGUUUUGGCCAGGCUGGUCUCGAACUCCUGACCUCAUGAUCCUCGUGCCUCAGCCUCCCAAAGUGCUGGGAUUGCAAGAGUGAGCCACUGCGCCUGGCCUUUUUCUUUGUUCUUAUAUUUUUGUCUUUUUUUUUUUUUUUUUUGAGACAGAGUCUCACUCUUUCACUGAGGCUGGAGUGCAGUGGCGUGAUCUUGGCUCACUGCAACCUCCACCUCCUGGGUUCAAGCGAUUCUCCUGCCUUAGCCUCCCGAGUAACAGGGACUACAGGUGCCCACCACCAUGCUGGGCUAAUUUUUGUAUUUUUAGUAGAGGCGGGGGUUUCACCACACUGACCAGGCUGGUCUUGAACUUCUGACCUCAAAAGAUCCACCCACCUCAGCCUCCCAAAGUGCUGGGAUUAUAGGCAUGAACCACCGUGUCCGGCCAUAUAUUUUCGUCUUUUGAAGAAUGUUAUAUACGUGAAAUUAUAUGUCGCUGGGACUUCCAGUACUACACUGAGUAAGAG